UAUAAGAUUUUUUACAUCAACCUUUCCCUGUUGCUUGUUAAAAUUAUAUAAUUUCUCUUGAAAAUUAAAAAAUUACAUUUAAACCCGGUACCAUUAGCAUCUUAUUUGGAUUAAGCAGUUGCAGUUAAGUUCAUUGAAAAUUUUCAAAAACCCGAAAUUGCCCUUUUUAUCUACAGAUACUCAAUUCUCAGGUGCCGAGUUCAUCACCAUCCUUCUCCGGCAAAGGCUCCUCGAACGCGAGAUGGUAUACUUCGUGUUCGCUGUUGGGGAACCGUAGGCAACUUCUUGUAUGAACUCAAGACUUUUGAAACCCAUAUUUUUUCCCAAAUUAGGAUCUUCUCAGGCGACGGGCGAGAGACGAAGAAAGAGCAGGGAGGGACUCCGACUGACAAGUUGAAGGAACCAUUCCCAUAUAUCCCAUCGGAAUAAUCAAACAACCCUUCCAACGCCACAAAUCCACCGCCGGUUUUAUCUUCCUCGUCGCCAACGAUCCUAAAUCACAAUUGGCUUCUACUUUUCAUCCUGUUUGUGCAGAUUUGCAGCUCUUUUUGCUCUUGACGAGAUGGGUAGUUGGUGUCUACGUUUUUGCUAAGCUAACCCUAACUCUCUGUUUGUGAUCAUUGGUGUUUUGUGAUUUGGGGGUUCUUUGUAGUGUGGGUUUUUGAUUUUCUUGCAAAACAGUUCCAUUCAACUAAUGAAAAAGGAGGAGGAAGCACAUCAGAUAUAAUGAUGGCAGGUAAUGGAUAGCCGAACCAGGCUAUCUCCAAAAAGCUUUUGAACUCCACUGGCUGAGCAAACAGCCCACUAGGAUAGUAAUUGAGCUUUGUGGUUCAGGUGAACCUAAUGCUACUCUUGCUGAUAUCUGCAAUUUGCUAAUGGAUAAAUGACCUCUUCCUCUACAGGAAAAGGAAAAGGUUUCUCUUAUCAGGUCUGGAAAUUUACAUAAUAUUAGAGCAAGUUCUUUUCAAUGUUGGUUCGGUUAUGAAAUCCCAUCGACUCAUAUCCCUGAUGUCAUCAUCAAACCCCCAGAUCUAAUCCGGAGUUUUGGGGUUAAAGAAGUUCAUUGCAGCGAAUGGGGCGACCAUUACAGUACCUCGAGCUCCGAUUCCAAAUCCGACAACGAAGAGGACGAGAGAGACCGAGACAAGAGAUCAGAGAUUAGUUCUAGAUCGAAUUUUGGAUCUUCAUUUCACACUCAGACCACAGCGAAGCCGAAAUAUACACCAAUGGGGAAAUUUGAGAAAAUCGAAAGGAGAAAACUCAAGCUUGACAUGCGUACCGCCAUCGUGGGCAUGGCAUAAGAGGGCAGGAAACUGUUGGGGCCUUCUUCGCCUUCCACUUGCACCCAUAGCACGACCAUGGGAAAGAUCACUUGUUCCGCAGGCAUUUCAGGAUUCCAUUUCUGCAGAAUGGUGGCAUGACCAGCGUAGAUCCAUGGCUGAGAAAGAAGUAUAACCUGCAUGUCACGUUCAUUGCGCAACUUUAUCACAAAUCUAUCAGGGGCGUUAUCAACUAGAUGAAGUUCAAACCCUCGGAUGGGCUUCGAAUGCUCAGCUCUACUGAACAUAGCUCGUAGCUCCAUAAUGGAAAUAUGGACCCCAUCCAAAACCCAGACAACAAUAGAAUAUUGCAGAGAUUGAUCGGCCUUCAAAAGGGUUUCCUCCGAAACCUCCACCGGAUCCGGUUUCAUGUUCGGCAGUUCGAGUUUGGAUGCAAACUCCUCAGCAAGACGUUCUGCAAAUGACGAAGCCUGCACCUGGGAAAGAGCACUGUGAGCAGGAGGUAGAGUGGGAGUGGUCUCCAUGGGUUUGAAGCGUGGGACAUCUGAUUUCUUAGCUUAACUACGUUUACCUACCGGGAAAAUUAUUUAUUGCUGGAGAAGAUCAAUAAAAACACUAAGAGUGAAAGUGAAAUAAAGUUAACCACAUCAUCAACAGCAGUUGUCGUUAA